GGUCUUACAGCUAAUGCGUCUGCAGUACUAGUUGCUUCCAGAAGGUCUCUAGAGACAAAGUUCCUUCCAAUGCCAGCUGGUGCAAUCUCAUCUUCAACUGGAGGUACUGAAUUCAGUGUGAAUGCCUAAGGUAUGUAUGAAGGGAAUAUUAGAUUUCUUUUGAUAUAAUACUCCUUUUGAAGGCAUCUACAUAUGGUGAGGUUCAUAUUUUGGCCUUCUGUUUUAGCACUCUUUUUAGUAUAAGAUGGUCCUGUACAGAUUUCAGAUGUAUGAAAGAAAUUUUACCAGUCCUUGACUGUUAAGUCCAAAAGCACAACUUGGAAGCUCUCCUGCAUAUGUGUAAGCUAUGAAGGAUAAUCCAUUUGAUAGUUUUCCCUUGAUCAAAUAGCUGCAAACCCGUCAUAGACAUGUAUGCAUGUUACGGGAUAUUGAUUUAUCGUACAUAUUGCACUCUUUCCUAGAAUCUGAACAGUAUUCAUGAAAAAAAAGCAUACGUGUGGCCUACUAGAGCAACGUUUGCAUCCUCGUUAUGAGCUGCUACUGCCAUUGAAUCACCAACAAUGAGAACAUCAGAACAGUCAUCUGUAGUAUCAGCAUUUGAAUUCAUUGUUGUUUUUGAAAUGAAUGGGAGUAUCUCCUUUCUGAAGUUGACAAGUAUUAUCUGCAGAUGAAGGGAGUAGAAUGUGAUUUUAUUCAAUAGAACAGUAUAUUGAUGAAAUUAACAGUUUGUGAUAACUACAUCAAGAACCGGCACACCGCUUCCGUCUGCGGUCCCUAAAAGCUCUGCCCAAUAUCUGGGGAACUUCUUCUGGUUUG
rnacentral:lncRNA from 1 species